AGCUCAAAUUUGAAAUCUGGCCCCUCCGGGGUCCGAGUUGUAAUUUGCAAAGGAUGCUUCGGGUGCGGCCCCUGUCUAAGUGCCCUGGAACGGGCCGUCAGAGAGGGUGAGAAUCCCGUCUUGGGCAGAGUGCCCGUGCCCGUGUGAAGCUCCUUCGACGAGUCGAGUUGUUUGGGAAUGCAGCUCAAAAUGGGUGGUAAAUUUCAUCUAAAGCUAAAUACCGGCCGGAGACCGAUAGCGCACAAGUAGAGUGAUCGAAAGAUGAAAAGCACUUUGAAAAGAGAGUUAAACAGCACGUGAAAUUGUUGAAAGGGAAGCGCUUGCAACCAGACUCGGCCUCGGGGUUCAGCCAGCAUUCGUGCUGGUGUACUUCCCCGGGGCCGGGCCAGCGUCGGUUUGGGCGGCCGGUCAAAGGCCCCAGGAAUGUAUCGUCCUCCGGGACGUCUUAUAGCCUGGGGUGCAAUGCGGCCAGCCUGGACCGAGGAACGCGCUUCGGCACGGACGCUGGCGUAAUGGUCGCAAACGACCCGUC
rnacentral:rRNA from 1 species